CACAAGCGGUGGAUGAUUGUGGUUUAAUUCGAUGCAACGCGAAAACCUUACCACCUUGACAUGUACGGAAUCCUUUAGAGAUAGAGGAGUGCUCGAAAGAGAGCCGUAACACAGGUGCUGCAUGGCUGUCGUCAGCUCGUGUCGUGAGAUGUUGGGUUAAGUCCCGCAACGAGCGCAACCCUUGUCAUUAGUUGCUACAUUCAGUUGGGCACUCUAAUGAGACUGCCGGUGACAAACCGGAGGAAGGUGGGGAUGACGCCAAGUCCUCAUGGCCCUUAUAGGUGGGGCUACACACGUGUUACAAUGGCCAGUACAAAGGGUAGCCAACCCGCGAGGGGGAGCCAAUCCCACAAAGCCGGUCGUAGUCCGGAUCGCAGUCUGCAACUCGACUGCGUGAAGUCGGAAUCGCUAGUAAUCGCGGAUCAGCAUGUCGCGGUGAAUACGUUCCCGGGUCUU
rnacentral:rRNA from 1 species